AUUCACUGCGGCCCGAAAGAUGCUACUCGCCUCUAACCCUAAUUUUGAUCGAUCGCUUGAAAGCAUUUCGUUCAUCCUUUUCUGCAGCGGGUAUGACGCCUGCGAUUCCUUUAUCUCGAUCUCAUACUCUCUUUCUAUCUCUUGAGAUAAUUUGAUGCGUGUUGUUAUGGCUAUUUCGAGAAUCUUCUUCUCUGACUUGAAGUCAAGCAAAUGCUUUUACGUCGUCGAGCCAGGGCUACUGCGGUUCUGGGAUGCGAGGAACGUCAAACGCGGUGGUGAGCUGAUGUGGAUCGAUACGCUGCUUAUGGACGUGAAUAUUUAGUCUCUCUGUCCGGCCAGGUUACAUGGGGCUCUCCCUCUAACCCUAACUCCGCUCGAUCGAAGAAUUUGAUAUCGUCUCCCCUCUUCGUGCGGCCGCCGUGACGUCUGAGCUUCGAUAUCUGAAACAGCCUGAGUUAUGAACUUCGCUAUCUAAUGGUCCGAGUUAUGGCUUUUGCGUGUUCAAUCAUCAUAAGCUCUCUCUUUCUCUCUCGAUAGUUUAAUUUUCUCUCUUUAUCAAUCUGCUAUUUUUCAUGGAUUGAUUUUGUUUGUUAUUCAUUUAUAAACUAUUUUGAUGUAUUUUUCAGUGUUUCUACCAUGCUUUGACUUAAAUCUUCAGGGAUCUCAUUCCUAAACAAUGGCUCGAUUCCAUUUUUCUUGGGGUGACGCUGACUAUCACCAU